UUGUUUGGUGACCGAGGUAAAAGGUGGUAGACUGUAGAUCUAUUAACGGAAUUAAGUUUCCCCAACAAA
rnacentral:tRNA from 1 species